rnacentral:rRNA from 1 species
UACGAAGGUGGCGAGCGUUGUUCGGAUUCACUGGGCAUAAAGGGCGCGUAGGCGGUUCCGCAAGCAGUACGUGAAAUCCCACGGCUCAACCGUGGAAUUGCGUUCUGGACUGCGGUUCUAGAGUGCGGGAGGGGGGUGCGGAACUCUAGGUGUAGCGGUGAAAUGCGUAGAUAUCUAGAGGAACACCGGUGGCGAAGGCGGCUCACUGGUCCGGUACUGACGCUGAGGUGCGAAAGCGUGAGGAGCAAACGAGG